CUGUGUUCAACACCUUCCUGAGAAAAACAGGAUUUCUGCACGGAAGGAGGAUGAGUACUCAGACACACACCUGAAUUCUGCAGCAGCAGGAGCUUCUGGGCACAUUAGUCUAGAUUUAGACCUCGAUUUACCCCAAGGAGGAGAUGCCCAGGAAAUUCUUCCUGGACCCUCCUGAUAUUUGUGGCUUUUCAGAGCUAAGGAGAAGUGAACGUGUCUUUAUGGACUCAAAAUCAGUCUCUACCCUGAAGAAAUACAGGCAUUUCCCUGUGAUUCCACAUCCAGGACUGGUCAGUAUAAAGCAAAUAAAUGACACUCAUGGAUGCUGGAUCGUGUGUCACCUUGUCUGAUGUGCCUCCAGAUUUGUUGAGAAUGUCACCAUGAACGUCCAUUGGCAAACUGGAUAAGAAAGAGUGUCACAGUGCAGGACAACCUAGAAGAUGACAGAUACUCCCAGCUCUUCUAUUAUGCAACAAUAUUAGCAAGUAUCCACUCUGGACUGCAGCCAUGUCUGAAUUUCCAGUUCUUGAGAACUUUCCUGCAUCUUCACAAAAAAUGAGCAGAGGAUAUUUAUUAGAGCAAUCUUCCAGUCAGCCCCCCUCAACAGCCUGUGCCUGGAGCCUUGUCCAUUUCAAUAUAUGCAGCAAAAAGUGCAAACUGAAACCUAUUCAUCUUUGUUUUCUGAAUUGUGGCAAAGUUUAUGAAGUGGACACAAGCUCAAGGAGGAAUCCUCCUCCUGCAGCAAAACUUCUCCCCAGAACAUCCCCAGCCCUGCAGAAGCUCACACCUGGACCUGGGCUGUCCAUCUUCCACACAUGCAUUCAUCUUCCAGAAACAUCCUUAGGCAUCCUGUGGGCUCUGC